UACGUAGGGAGCAAGCGUUGUCCGGAAUCAUUGGGCGUAAAGAGCGUGUGGGCGGCCAGACAGGUCCGUUGUGAAAACUAGAGGCUUAACCUCUAGACGUCGAUGGAAACCGUCUGGCUAGAGUCCGGAAGAGGAGAAUGGAAUUCCUGGUGUAGCGGUGAAAUGCGCAGAUAUCAGGAAGAACACCCGUGGCUAAGGCGGUUCUCUAGUACGGUACUGACGCUGAGACGCGAAAGCGUGGGGAGCGAACAGG
rnacentral:rRNA from 1 species